UCCCGCAGUCCAGCAGUCCAACUGCAACGUCUACGCGAACUGGGGCUCCGAUGUUAAAGCCCCCGGCGGACGAUGGUAAGUCCUGUGGCCAUUUAGCCACGCCGGGCGAUGUUAG